rnacentral:rRNA from 1 species
UACGUAGGGGGCAAGCGUUGUCCGGAUUUAUUGGGCGUAAAGAGCGUGUAGGCGGCUUUACAGGUCCGUUGUGAAAACUCGAGGCUCAACCUCGAGACGCCGGUGGAAACCGUAAAGCUAGAGUCCGGAAGAGGAGAGUGGAAUUCCUGGUGUAGCGGUGAAAUGCGCAGAUAUCAGGAGGAACACCCGUGGCGAAAGCGGCUCUCUGGGCCGUGACUGACGCUGAGGAGCGAAAGCGUGGGUAGCAAACAGG